CAGGGAGACAACAAAAUGUAAAUAUUAAUUUUGUCACCUUAGGUCGAUCGGUAUCUCAGAUUCUUAAUUUUUGAGAAUUUCAGUUUCUAAGUUUUUUCUAGGUCACACCCAUCACUUUUUCCUGGGCCAUUAGCUCAGGUGGUUAGAGCGCACCCCUGAUAAGGGUGAGGUCCCUGGUUCAAGUCCAGGAUGGCCCAUAUCUCUAUGUUGGGGGUAUAGCUCAGUUGGUAGAGCGCCUGCUUUGCAAGCAGGAUGUCAGCGGUUCGAGUCCGCUUACCUCCACUGAAUACCACCUCUUACAUAUAUUAAAAGAGGGAAAUUGUUUUGAGUCGUGUCCUAAUUUGCUCUGAGCGAAUCUAGCUUCCUAUUUUAUUCAAUAAAUAAGAUGCUGGACUCAUUGAAUACUUUAUUCAUUGUUUUUCAGAGAACCUUGACAACUGCAUAGAUUAUUUUUGAAGACAAUAAGCAUCUUUAAUGAUGCAGAUUAUUAUUUGUGCUAACGCAUUAAAUAACAAUUCUAUUAAGCUGAUGCUUCAAUUAUUGAAGUUAUU
rnacentral:tRNA from 1 species